UACACUCAGAUUUUUUAUUACUUUCAUUUGAAAUCUGGUUGGUUUUAAAACGAAAUGAAGUUUGUUUUAAUUAACGUGUGACUUUUAAACGUGAAGUUAAAAAAGAAAAAAAAGUGCGCGGAAAAUUUGUUUAUUUUUUAACUUCAAAGAGGAAUGGUACUGGCAGUGGAGGUCUUGUCCGCAUUCCUGAAGAAACUUUAUACUUCGGUUACGAAAGAUGAACGGCAGGCGGGCCCUAAAAGGUGGGAUUAUUGCAUUCCCCAUCUUUUCUGGAAGUUCCUACCAUUACCACAAAGGUGUUUGCGGUAACUUAAUCCGUAUCCUAUCGAUCGGUGAAAAUGUUUUCUCCAGAAGGCAGCAGAAUUCCAGGUAUGCCGUCGCCGUUAAUUCUCACCGGUAGAAAAAAAAGGCAGCUGGAAGCGUACCGUUGCUGGCCGGAGGCUGAUAAGGCUAAAAAAGAUGCGUUGGACUAGCCAGCUCGGAGAUCGCAGACUAGCCAUUCCCCUGCGCAGAACGGUUCUUUCCUGAAGCAGGCAAUACGCAGUGAGCUCAUCGUUUGCAUGCAUGUACCUAGCAGAUCCAAGAAGAAUAUA